AGGCAAUCUGUGCUGUUAGAAGCCAACAUAUUGUUUACCGUUGAGAUUUCCGUCACUGUGGUUUCCUUCCUGGAUGUCAGUUGCUACGAUCGCUACAGCUCCUUCUUAACUGGACAGAACAUCUGGUCAUCAGAGGGCUGCCCUCCUGUGGCUGCCUGUGGGUCGCCCCAGGUGUACAAAACCUUUCCAGCAGGAUGCUGCUGUCACACACAUGCUCCUGUUUCUGAAGUGCCACUCGUCAUCCAUGUCCACGUUAAGAAGCAGAGAGACUCCUGAGGUCUGGGCAGUAAAAACAACCACAUAGAAGGAGAAAAACAAAGAGCAAAUGAGGUGGGGGAGAACUUAUAUAAAGAGCUCUUUUGGGGCACCUGGGUGGAUCAUGACCUCUGCCUUCGACUCAGGUCAUGAUUCCAGGGUCCUGGGAUCAAGCCCUCCAUCGGGCUCUCUGCUC